rnacentral:piRNA from 1 species
UGGUGUUGAAAAAAAUAGUUU